GAUGAACGCUAGCGGCAGGCCUAAUACAUGCAAGUCGAGGGAGAAUGUUGGAUUCGUCUGACAUGAAACCGGCGCACGGGUGCGUAACACGCAUGCAACCUACCUUUAACUGGGGUAUAGCUCAGAGAAAUCUGAAUUAAUCCCCCAUAAGACUACGACAUGGCAUCAUGAUGUAGUUAAAGCUCCGGCGGUUAAGGAUGGGCAUGCGGUACAUUAGCUAGUUGGUGAGGUAAUGGCUCACCAAGGCUACGAUGUAUAGGGGGUCUGAGAGGAUGAACCCCCACACUGGUACUGAGACACGGACCAGACUCCGACGGGAGGCAGCAGUAGGGAAUAUUGGUCAAUGGACGCAAGUCUGAACCAGCCAUGCCGCGUGAAGGAUGAAGGCCCUAUGGGUCGUAAACUUCUUUUAUUAGGGAAGAAAAAACGGGAUGCGUCCUGUACUGACGGUACUUAAUGAAUAAGGAUCGGCUAACUUCGUGCCAGCCGCCGCGGUAA
rnacentral:rRNA from 1 species